CCUACGGGAGGCAGCAGUGGGGAAUAUUGGACAAUGGGCGAAAGCCUGAUCCAGCAAUACCGCGUGAAUGAUGAAGGCCUUAGGGUUGUAAAGUUCUUUUAGUUGGAAAGAUAAUGACGGUACCAACAGAAAAAGCCCCGGCUAACUCCGUGCCAGCAGCCGCGGUAAGACGGAGGGGGCUAGCGUUGUUCGGAAUUACUGGGCGUAAAGGGCGCGUAGGCGGAUUAGUAAGUUGGGAGUGAAAGCCCGGGGCUUAACCUCGGAACUGCUUUCAAAACUGCUAGUCUUGAGUGAAGUAGGGGAUGAUGGAAUUCCUAGUGUAGAGGUGAAAUUCUUAGAUAUUAGGAGGAACACCGGUGGCGAAGGCGGUCAUCUGGACUUCAACUGACGCUGAGGCGCGAAAGCGUGGGGAGCAAACAGGAUUAGAUACCCUUGUAGUC
rnacentral:rRNA from 1 species